rnacentral:piRNA from 1 species
UGAACUUUAACCCGAAGAGGGGACACAC